rfam:Eubacterium sp. CAG:252 genomic scaffold, scf110
CUUGAAAGCGGAUUGUGCUGUUUCUUAUACUUUCCCUUAAUUCACAGCUAUGUGGGUACAAGGAUGUACCCACAAAUGAAGCCGCGCCAAGGACGGCGCGUCCGAAUGGCAGCGUCAACAUAACUAACUAUAUUAACCAGUCCUAAUUAGUAAUCAUU